GCCUAGAUAGCUCAGUCGGUAGAGCAGAGGACUGAAAAUCCUCGUGUUACUGGUUCGAUUCCGGUUCUGGGCA
rnacentral:tRNA from 1 species